rnacentral:tRNA from 3 species
CAGGAGGUAGUUUAGAGAGAAUAUCA